rnacentral:rRNA from 1 species
GACGAACGCUGGCGGCGUGCUUAACACAUGCAAGUCGAACGGUGAAGCGCCUUCCUUUUUGGUGGGUGUGGAUGAGUGGCGAACGGGUGAGUAACACGUGAGUAACCUGCCCCCUUCUUCUGGAUAACCGCAUGAAAGUGUGGCUAAUACGGGAUAUUCUGGGUCUGUCGCAUGAUGGGUCUGGGAAAGAUAUUGUUUCGGUGGGGGAUGGGCUCGCGGCCUAUCAGCUUGUUGGUGGGGUGAUGGCCUACCAAGGCGGUGACGGGUAGCCGGCCUGAGAGGGUGGACGGUCACACUGGGACUGAGACACGGCCCAGACUCCUACGGGAGGCAGCAGUGGGGAAUAUUGCACAAUGGGCGCAAGCCUGAUGCAGCGACGCCGCGUGAGGGAUGGAGGCCUGCGGGUUGUGAACCUCUUUCGCCAGUGAAGCAGGCCUGCCGCGUGUGUGGGUGGGUUGACGGUAGCUGGAUAAGAAGCGCCGGCUAACUACGUG